CGGGAGGCGGAUCUGGGCGCUGUGAACGCGAGAGGGGGACGCUUCCUUCGAAGGGGAAGCUGGAGGUGCUCGGGGCCCCGGUAGCGUCCCCGGCCGGCUGCGCCCUUCCUUACUGGCUGGAAGUGAUUGAAAUGCUUGAUGGAUUUCUCCCCUUCCCACCUCUUACCAGCUAUCAAGAGGUGAAGCCAGAAUUCGAACCCCGAGUCCCAUUCCAGAUCCAUCAUACACGUUUAUGUGGAGGGAAAUCCUCAGAUGAAGUGAGGGCUCUGAGGCCCACGAAGAAGAAAUAGUGGGAUCGCCUUUGCAGUAAAAUCGGAUGAGAGAGGCCUGUGUACUACGCCUCAUAGCUGACCUUGAAAUACGUGGUUCGAUGUUAAAGAAGCCUAAAGAGGUAUCUGAAAAUCAGACCUUGUGAGAGACUGAAACCAACAAUAACCAAUCUGACCUGAUAAGAAAAUGCUUUUUGUAGAAGUCUCCAUUCAGUAGUGUUUGAGA
rnacentral:lncRNA from 1 species